rnacentral:rRNA from 1 species
GAUGAACGCUGGCGGCGUGCUUAACACAUGCAAGUCGAACGAAGCACUUUACUUGAUUUCCUUCGGGGAUGAUUGUUCUGUGACUGAGUGGCGGACGGGUGAGUAACGCGUGGAUAACCUGCCUCACACAGGGGGAUAACAGUUGGAAACGACUGCUAAUACCGCAUAAGCGCACAGCACCGCAUGGUGCAGUGUGAAAAACUCCGGUGGUGUGAGAUGGAUCCGCGUCUGAUUAGCUUGUUGGCGGGGUAACGGCCCACCAAGGCGACGAUCAGUAGCCGGCCUGAGAGGGCGACCGGCCACAUUGGGACUGAGACACGGCCCAGACUCCUACGGGAGGCAGCAGUGGGGAAUAUUGCACAAUGGGGGAAACCCUGAUGCAGCGACGCCGCGUGAGCGAUGAAGUAUUUCGGUAUGUAAAGCUCUAUCAGCAGGGAAGAUAAUGACGGUAC